rnacentral:rRNA from 1 species
UGGGGAAUUUUCCGCAAUGGGCGAAAGCCUGACGGAGCAAUGCCGCGUGGAGGUAAAAGGCCCACGGGUCAUAAACUUCUUUUCCCGGAGAAGAAGCAAUGACGGUAUCUGGGGAAUAAGCAUCGGCUAACUCUGUG